rnacentral:rRNA from 1 species
CUGGCUUAUGGAGGGGGAUAACCAUUGGAAACGGUGGCUAAUACCGCAUGAUGUCGCAAGACCAAAGUGGGGGACCUUARGGCCUCACGCCAUGAGAUGAACCCAGAUGAGAUUAGCUAGUAGGUGCGGUAAUGGCGUACCUAGGCGACGAUCUCUAGCUGGUCUGAGAGGAUGACCAGCCACACUGGAACUGAGAGACGGUCCAGACUCCUACGGGAGGCAGCAGUGGGGAAUAUUGCACAAUGGGCGGAAGCCUGAUGCAGCCAUGCCGCGUGUGUGAAGAAGGCCUUAGGGUUGUAAAGCACUUUCAGCGGGGAGGAAGGCGGUAAGAGUAAUAUGCUUAUCRAUUGACGUUACCCGCAAAAGAAGCACCGGCUAACUCCGUGCCAGCAGCCGCGGUAAUACGGAGGGUGCGAGCGUUAAUCGGAAUAACUGGGCGUAAAGRGCAUGUAGGCGGUAAGUUAAGUCAGAUGUGAAAUCCCCGAGCUUAACUUGGGAACGGCAUUUGAGACUGGCUGGCUAGAGUUUUGUAGAGGGGGGUAGAAUUCCAGGUGUAGCGGUGAAAUGCGUAGAGAUCUGGAGGAAUACCGGUGGCGAAGGCGGCCCCCUGGACAAGGACUGACGCUGAGGUGCGAAAGCGUGGGUAGCAAACAGGAUUAGAUACCCUGGUAGUCCACGCUGUAAACGAUGUCGAUUUGGAGGUUGUGACCUAGUGUUAUGG